CGGGGUGCAGCAGGCGCGAAACCUAUACAAUGCACGAAAGUGUGAUAGGGGGAUCCUAAGUGCUUAUGUUUUACAUAAGCUUUUGCCAAGCGUAAAUAACUUGGAGAAUAAGUGGUGGGCAAGACUGGUGCCAGCCGCCGCGGUAACACCAGCGCCACGAGUGGGAAUCGCAUAUUUGGCUUAAAGCGUCUGUAGCCGGCCUCGUAAAUUCUUUGUGAAAUCGAUAAGCUCAACUGAUUGGCCCGCAGAGAAGACAGUUUGGCUCGGAAUCGGGAGGGGUCAGGAGUAUUGGAUGGGGAGCGGUAAAAUGGGAUAAUCCCCAGAAGAUUACCUGUGGCGAAGGCGUCCGACCAGAACGAAUUUGACGGCGAGGGACGAAAGCUGGGGGAGCGAUCCGGAUUAGAUACCCGAGUAGUCCCACCCUGUAAACUCUGCGCGCAAGGUGCUGAGCAAUUUUCGGGAUUGCAACAGUAUGGAAGUGAAGGCGUUAAGCUCGCCGCCUGGGGAGUAUGGUCGCAAGACUGAAACUUAAAGGAAUCGGCGGGGGACCACAAGGGCGAUUCG
rnacentral:rRNA from 1 species